UCGACGUGCUUAAUUAAUAAAUUAAUGAAUAAAUAAAUGAAUAGGAAUUCUAGAUAGCCAAUAAAUGGUGUAGAGCCAAAUUAUAAUGGGCCUAAUUAACACUACAAUCUACAAGCCCAAAUAAGAAGGAUGGCUAGAUUGUUAAGAAAAAGGGAAGGAUUAAGUUGUAUAUUAAACCAUGGUAAGAAGACAAAAAUUAGAAGGAAUGAAUAUGUUGAAUGGUUUAAGCAAGGGACUAAAGUGGCACAUUUGCCUAACAUUGCAUAUGAAAUACGUGAUGAAGAUGUUGAAUCCAGAAGCAAAAAUUUUACUUCAGCUUUUGAUGAAAUAUUCGGUCACUUGGGGUUUCUUCAUCUUAAGAUCGUUUUUGACGAUUCUUUCACCGAUUUUUCAAGCAUUCGAUCCUCUAUCAUCCUAAGACUUCAAUUCAAGAUCUUACGCGCUAUUGGAUUGGAGAAAUAGAAGAUUUGGAGGAAUUAACAACGGGAUAUUUUAUUUUUCUUUUAAAAUUUGGAAAUUUGGAUUAAGCGGUCGAGUGUUUUCUUUCAGGAUUAAUAUUUGAUGAUGUGGUCGAGCUUCCAACCAUUGUUCCGGAAGUCUCAAUUAUGGGGAGUCUUAUUCUUCUUAGAGCUGCAGUAGUCAAAAUAGUAGAGUUAGCUAGUAGCAAACAAUUUAUGUUUAUUUUAUGCCAUGACAUAAUGAUGUAUUUUGGGAAAAUGAAUUAUCCAGGAAUUUAAUAUAUGGUUAAUUGGUAUUUUAUACAAA